rnacentral:rRNA from 1 species
GACGAACGCUGGCGGCGUGCUUAACACAUGCAAGUCGAGCGGAAAGGCCCUUCGGGGUACUCGAGCGGCGAACGGGUGAGUAACACGUGAGAAACCUGCCCUGGACUUUGGGAUAACCCUCGGAAACGGGGGCUAAUACCGGAUAUGACAUUCGACCGCAUGGUUGUUUGUGGAAAGUUUUUCGGUCUGGGAUGGUCUCGCGGCCUAUCAGCUUGUUGGUGGGGUAAUGGCCUACCAAGGCGACGACGGGUAGCCGGCCUGAGAGGGCGACCGGCCACACUGGGACUGAGACACGGCCCAGACUCCUACGGGAGGCAGCAGUGGGGAAUAUUGCACAAUGGGCGGAAGCCUGAUGCAGCGACGCCGCGUGAGGGAUGACGGCC